GGUCGCAAUAGCCAAGUGGCCGGCAUUCCGUACUACCAUUCGGAAGGCUCGGGUUCAAGUCCCCGUGCGACCA
rnacentral:tRNA from 1 species